UUUCAGGGUACCCCACUCAAGCUCCACCAUCACAAUAUGCAGAAGCAGGUCCUGUCAAAACACAGAGCAGAGGAGAGAAAGGUUGUCUAGAAGGAUGCUUAGCAGCCCUGUGUUGUUGUUGGUUGUGUGAAGAAUGUUGUGUGUGAGGACAUAUGCUUCCAUAUGACUUGAACCAGAUUAGAUUAGAUACAAUAUGAUAAUUUAUUGCAGUAUUGUAAUGGAACACUCUAUGGAUUAGUUGCAGGAGAAGGUUGUCUUGAUUUAUUGGUAGGAAAAGUUGUCUUGAAUUGUUGGAAUUGGCCACUUGUCAUGAUUAUAGGUCUAUGUGAAGUGUGAAGUGGCAUUUGUAAAGGUUAGAUUAUGUAAUUUUGAGACUCUGUGUAAGUAUACACAUUUAAUACAAUAGAAAAGCUUUAAAGA